UGGUCACGUCAGAGGGCCUCCGGUUUAGGCCAAUCAGAGGCCCGGACAGGUGCCCCUCCGGGAGGACAGUUUCGGAGGCGGAAACCUGCAGGUCCACUAAAAGACAGACGCCUCAAUAUAAAGUUGGAUAUUCAGUCGUAUUUUUAUUUUUUUAAAUCAGAGAAUCACUGAAACAACGAGUUAUGAGAACGAAUCAAAUUAUUUUUUUAAACCGUGGAAAGAGAAUGAGUGGAGAUAGCUUGAGCUGAGAAUCCGUGUGUAUAAAGGUAGACGCACUUUUAAGACGCACAACAUAAUAGCCGUUUCAACUGAUUCCACAAGAUAUCAGCCAUGGAUUUUUAACAUCAACACGGACUAAAGUUCGUUCUUGAAGAGGUCCGAUCCGCUCCACUCCGACCCUGUCCCAUACCAGUCCGUAUAGUGCAGGCUUUCACUGACCAAGAAGAACAUAAAGGCAUAAUCAGUGUGCGAAUGAGACAAGCUUCUAGACACUGUAUUUUGUCAACAAAACGUAUCAAUUAACCAGGCUACAAGAGGGUAGAAGAUGGCAGAGAGAGUGACUUGGUGGAGAGCGUUUAUGGGGAGCAGUAAGACGAUUAGUAGUGGUACCAAGGACAUCACCCCAGCUACCCAGAUCCCAGACACAGUGAAGGACCCUCUGACGCCCCGCACACAGGGAAUCCAAGCUACACCACACUCAGCAGCCCCCAAACUCCCAACCAAUCAACAGCCACCAGCAUCACCACAACAACCAGCAUCACAGCAGCCACAGGCACCAGUCAGUACAGGCACCAGCCUCUUCAGCGACGAGACCUUCGAUGACUCCCAGUUUGAGUCGGUCUUCAACGAACAUACUUGUCGUAGGAACCUGAGGGUGUCUCGGUCAGGCCGGUUUAAGGAGAAGAAGAGGGUACGCUCCAGUCUUCCUACUGGGAAAGAGGACGUACGAUAACGAGGAUGGUGAUGAUGAGGGAGAUAGUGGCCAAAAGACUGCUCUUACUUCUGAACUUUAUUUCAACACGGCCGUCCGUUCUGGGGGAAAAGGAAGGUAGAUGAAGAUGAAUUGUAAGUUGAAGAUAAGUUGAGGGUAGAGUUGAAGAUAAGUUGAAGAUAAGUUGAGGGUAGAGUUGAGGGUAAGUUGAAGAUAAGUCAAAGAUAAGUUGAAGAUAAGUUGAAGAUAAGUUGAAGAUAGUGAUUUGAGACCUUGACUUUACUCUUUGGAACCCUUUUGUCAGUACUAGAGAGUCUGUCUGUUCCGCUGCUGCUGCUUCUUCAUCAAUCAACAUGAGAUUCAUUUCAUUGAUUUUGAUUUAUUGAUCCCUUAUGGGAAGCUGAACAUUAUUUAAUCAACUUUUUAACCCUUGAAAAUGAAUAACUUAAGCUGUGUUUCCCAUCACAAAGAAAGUGAACUGAUACUCUUCUCUACCUCCUGUCUUGUUACAUUAUAAUGGACUGCUGAUUGGCAGUAGUGAAAGUUUCUCCGUGACAGCUAGGUAGGUACUUACCAGUCCUUCCUUGAGGAAAAUCACAGGUCUGACAAGGUUUGAUUGAUUUAAAGCAAUAGGAAGACAAGUGUGUCUUUACUAAUCCAAUCCCGUAAAGAUCAGUGGUUAGGCUACUUCAAGGAAGGAAAGAAGGGAGGAAUGAAGGAAGGAAGGACCAUUUUCUGUAAGAAGUACCACCUUUCAGCUUUAAAAACUAUCCAGACUUUUCUAGCCUUUUUUGUUGUUGUAUCAAAACAGUAUACUGAAAAUGAGACACACACACACACACAGCUACGCACAUUCCAGGAAAUGAUACGCUGUUUAUAAGAUGUUUACAUAUAUAUGUGUAAUAUUCAGAAUAUGAAGGAUAUAAUAUUGUUUUUACCAAUCAAUGUUGUUGUUUUGUUUAUUUAAAAAAAAAUAUGAUUACAGUGGGUUAGAAGGGUACUUUAAAAAAAAAAAUUUAAAGAGGUGGGAUUGCUUGAAUGAAUGAGCAUUGGUGUUUGUGACGGACAGGUGAAAAUAUAAGAUUAUAUCCACUAGCUGCUAUUCGGUUACAUACAGGCACACGUUUUAGAGGGAAACAUCACCAUCUGGAGCAAAUCCUGAUAGAAGAUGCUAUUAGAAGCUAAACAGUAAGGUGUUAUAGAUAUAUAUAAUCCUGAUAGAAGAUGCUAUUAGAAGCUAAACAGUAAGGUGUUAUAGAUAUAUAUAAUCCUGAUAGAAGCUAAACAGUAAGGUGUUAUAGAUAUAUAUAAUCCUGAUAGAAGAUG
rnacentral:lncRNA from 1 species